UACGUAGGGUGCAAGCGUUUGUCCGGAAUUAUUGGGCGUAAAGAGCUUGUAGGCGGUUUGUCGCGUCUGCUGUGAAAUUUCGGGGCUCAACCCCGAACUUGCAGUGGGUACGGGCAGACUAGAGUGUGGUAGGGGGAGACUGGAAUUCCUGGUGUAGCGGUGAAAUGCGCAGAUAUCAGGAGGAACACCGAUGGCGAAGGCAGGUCUCUGGGCCAUAACUGACGCUGAGAAGCGAAAGCAUGGGGAGCGAACAGG
rnacentral:rRNA from 1 species